AAGCAGUGGGGAAUCAAAGAAUACUGGGCAGAAGUUGCUAAAAACGUAGAACCCUCCCAGAUUUAUAUGUGGGAUUGGUUGAGAAUACAAGUUUGGUGACAAACUGAGCACAUUCAGAUUCCGGCUAGACUGUUUCUUAAUGGUGUCAUCUCAGGCAGAUAGGUGGACCUCUUCCGCCCUAGAGCAGGUUUUUGGAUGACUACUAGGCAAGGGAAGACUUUAGUUCAGGGCCUGGCGCAUCAUAAGAGAACCUUGGCGAUUGUAUUAGGUGGUGGCUGACUAGAGUGGUAAUGAAGAAAUCCUUUCUUCUUUCCCUGAGAGGCAAGUACAUGAUUGCAUCCACUGAAAAGAUAGAACCAGACUUACCAAAGCCAUGGAGACAGUGAAACAGGUGUCUCCCCCAUCAGAGGCUUGAAUUCUAUCCCUCUGGUUCACAUAUACGGCUCCCAGUCCAGGAAAGAUGCCUUCUGGGAAUUCCCCAUGCAGCUUGAGAGACUCUGGCUUUGACUAGAGAUGAUGUCUUGGUGCAGCAGGUUUAACAUUAGGAUGAGGUGUGAUUGUUCUUCUGUACCAAGGCCAAGCAGUGGGCAGGAAAAUGGGACCAAGUGAGAUGUGAAGAAUGAGAAACUAAGGAGAGUGUACAAAGCAAGGGCAGGACACAGGCCAAGAGCCAGCGGGAAACUAUGGCCAGUGAUGAAAUCAGGAAGGAAAAGGUAGGUGGGGUCCAUUCUGGCUCUUAUAAAUGCCACUUUACCCCUGAGGGUCUGCUGAAGAAUUUUAAUCAGGACAGUGGAAUUCUCUCUUAAGCCAGUUUCCAUAAACGACAAGGCCCCAGAGUCUUUCUGGGUUGGAUCCCAACCCUGCCUCAGCCUUAGUCCACCUCCAUCCUCACACCGUUCCAUCAUUUCCAUCUAAGCAGUGAAUGGCAAGGGAUAAAGGGCUGAAUCCUUGAGCUGGGCUAGGGGACAUCUUUUGAGUCAGAAAGCAAAACCCUGUGCAUGGGUGUUUAUGUAGAUAUUUUUAAACCUGAGGUUCAUGCUAAACCCCAAGGUCAAACAACUUGGUCCAACACAACACUUUCUGUUCAUUAUGAAAGUGUAGCCUAAAAACCAUCUCCAACCUUUGAAUCAGCCCAAAACUUCAACAAGU